AACGAACGCUGGCGGCAGGCCUAACACAUGCAAGUCGAACGCCGUAGCAAUACGGAGUGGCAGACGGGUGAGUAACACGUGGGAACAUACCCUUCGGUUCGGAAUAACUCAGGGAAACUUGAGCUAAUACCGGAUACGUCCGCGAGGAGAAAGAUUCAUCGCCGGAGGAUUGGCCCGCGUCUGAUUAGCUUGUUGGUGAGGUAACGGCUCACCAAGGCGACGAUCAGUAGCGGUCUGAGAGGAUGAUCAGCCACCAUUGGGACUGAGACACGGCCCAAACUCCUACGGGAGGCAGCAGUGGGGAAGUAAUUGGACAAUGGGCGCAAGCCUGAUCCAGCCAUGCCGCGUGAGUGAUGAAGGCC
rnacentral:rRNA from 1 species